rnacentral:rRNA from 1 species
GACGAACGCUGGCGGCGUGCCUAAUACAUGCAAGUCGAGCGAAUGGAAGGGAGCUUGCUCCCUGAAGUUAGCGGCGGACGGGUGAGUAACACGUGGGCAACCUACCUGUAAGACUGGGAUAACUUCGGGAAACCGGAGCUAAUACCGGAUACGUUCUUUCCUCGCAUGAGGAAAGAUGGAAAGAUGGUUUCGGCUAUCACUUACAGAUGGGCCCGCGGCGCAUUGGCUAGGUGGUGGGGUAACGGCCCAACAAGGCGACGAUGCGUAGCCGCCCUGAGAGGGGGAGCGGCCACACUGGGACUGAGACACGGCCCAGACUCCUACGGGAGGCAGCAGUAGGGAAUCUUCCGCAAUGGACGAAAGUCUGACGGAGCAACGCCGCGUGAGCGAAGAAGGCCUUCGGGUCGUAAAGCUCUGUUGUCAGGGAAGAACAAGUGCCAGAGUAACUGCUGGCACCUUGACGGUACCUGACCAGAAAGCCACGGCUAACUACGUGCCAGCCGCCGCGGUAA